UGGGUCCAAAAAUUUUUGCAUGUUCUGUAAAAAAUAAAAAAGUGAUUGAAAAUAAAAUGCUCCAUAGAAAUAUAAUGAUUUUCUUGUUUUGGUUUUUUUUUUGGUUAGCAAUGUGAAAUCAGUGCAUCUUUCUGAGGGCUAUUUAUGUUGCAGAGGAGCUGAGAGGGGAAGUCUCUCACUGCAAGCCAGUACCACAGCUUCAGGGGGAUUUGAGCCACACGAGCCCAGGAUGCCGGUGAGAGGCACUGCAGCUCUCCCUGAUUCUCCAGCGAGGCCCACCCGCCGUCCCCGUGUCUGGUCCAGCAUCACACGCGUUCACAAGGCUGCUCUGGAAAUCUCCUUUUAUUUCUUUGGUAGACUCUCAGCCAUUAUCUGCUCACACAUAAGAUUAAUUUGCUGCCUUUGAGGUGUGCAGGCAGUAGGAAGUAGCAAUAGUAGAAUUAAACAGUCUGGAGAGCAUGGCUGUUCCCCAAGCAAGGUUUUCCUUGUGUUUUGGACUGCAUCUGUGUCUAUGGGUUUCUGGAGCACUUUGGCACUUAUCAGCUGAAACACUUCCUGAUGGUCAUCUUAUAAAAGGAGCAACUGGGGCUGGUGUUGGAUUUUACUUUACCAUGCUACUCAGAAGCUAAUGACAUGACCAGGGAGGGAGAAAAAAAAUAAACUGCUAUGGACGUUUUGUGGAAGUUUCUUG
rnacentral:lncRNA from 1 species